UACAGAGGUGGCAAGCGUUUGUUCGGAAUUACUGGGCGUAAAGCGCACGUAGGCGGCUUUGUAAGUUAGAGGUGAAAGCCCGGGGCUCAACUCCGGAACUGCCUUUAAGACUGCAUCGCUUGAAUCCAGGAGAGGUGAGUGGAAUUCCGAGUGUAGAGGUGAAAUUCGUAGAUAUUCGGAAGAACACCAGUGGCGAAGGCGGCUCACUGGACUGGUAUUGACGCUGAGGUGCGAAAGCGUGGGGAGCAAACAGG
rnacentral:rRNA from 1 species